UGCAAGAAAUGUGUAAUGCUCCACUUGGCAUGAUCAAAGUUAAGGUGCAACUCUUUUUUAUAUACGCCACUUAUCCUUUUUAAUUCUUCCCAUUGGGGUGGGUGCAGGCAGAAUAAGCAUCUUGAACCUUGACCAUCAUUGUUAAGUUCGGUUUGUUCUUCUUAUGGUUCUGUAGCUUUAGUUGAUGCUGUUGGUUCUUCAUUUCCAUCAUAUUUAAAUAUACUAUUAAUAACAAUAUUAAAUACAAGUGUUUGUGGUGGUUUAAGUGUAUUGAUUUGUACAUUUAAGUACCCAUCUCUGCACAUUGUUUCUCAUAUCCUCUCUGAUAUGGUGGCGGGGAUUUAAUUUUCUAUGUGUUAUAGUGAAACAGAUAAUUCAUUGGACACUCAAGUACUAUUCCUCCCUUUGGUUGAGGUUUCAGUGAAGGCUUUACUUGUCAUAUCAUCAGUAGCUCUACCUGCAGCUCCAAGUGCAGCGACACGAGUUUUGUUCUGUGCUCAUCAUCCAUACUUGGUUGGAACUGCAAAGAGAGACGCAGUUUGGAAGUUUCUGGUUGAAGGGUUUUGAUCUUUUUUUAAUCAGUUGAAAGCGAUAGACGUGGGUUUUUAUUUUGUGAAAAGGAUGUGGUGUUAUAUGCCUAAACACGUAUAUGUGCAGAGGUUGAUGCAUUGAAGGAAGGAAGUGACAACCCUAAAGGGUCAGCUUGCGAUCUAGGAAGAGCAGAUGAGGGCGCAGCUGAGGGCCUAGGACGAGGAGAUGAGGAACUAUGCCGGGACGGUGAGAGACCUUGUACAAGACAUACAGAUGUCCGGCCUCCAAAUCUCGCUACCACCACCUCAUCUUGCUCCACCUUCGACCUCAGAGCCAUCUUGUCGUGCCAAUACCUAGUAGCCUGAUGUAUUAAAAUUAGUUCACUUGUAGUUUUUUCUUUUUUGUUCGAACAUCUUGUAUGUACAUUUUCAUAUAUUUUAUAAUUAAAAUAUAAUUAAAUAAUUUUGCUU